rnacentral:tRNA from 1 species
UCCCUGUUGGCUCAGAUGGUAAAGACCCUGCCUGGAAUGCAGGAGACCCAGGUUUGAUCCCUGGGUCUGGAA